GUGAACCUGCAGAAGGAUCAUUG
rnacentral:rRNA from 2 species